rnacentral:rRNA from 1 species
GUCCACGCUGUAAACGAUGAGCGCUAGGUGUUGUGGGUGUUGACCCCCGCAGUGCCGCAGCUAACGCAUUAAGCGCUCCGCCUGGGAAGUACGGCCGCAAGGCUAAACUACAAGGAAUUGACGGGGGCCCCGGCACAAGCGGUGGAGCAUGUGGUUUAAUUCGACGCAACGCGCAGAACCUUACCUGGUCUUGACAUCCUCGGAACCCUUCAGAGAUGAGGGGGUGCCCGCAAGGGAACCGAGAGACAGGUGCUGCAUGGCUGUCGU